UGGGGAAUUUUGCACAAUGGGGGAAACCCUGAUGCAGCGACGCCGCGUGAUUUAGAAGGCCUUCGGGUUGUAAAAAUCUUUUCUAUGGGAAGAAAAUGACAGUACCAUAGGAAUAAGGACCGGCUAAUUACGUGCCAGCAGCCGCGGUAAUACGUAAGGUCCGAGCGUUGUCCGGAAUCAUUGGGCGUAAAGGGUACGUAGGCGGGUAAGCAAGUUAGAAGUGAAAUCCUAUAGCUCAACUAUAGUAAGCUUUUAAAACUGCUCAUCUUGAGGGAUGGAAGGGCAAGUGGAAUUCCUAGUGUAGCGGUGAGAUGCGCAGAUAUUAGGAGGAAUACCGGUGGCGAAGGCGACUUUCUGGCCAGAACCUGACGCUGAGGUACGAAAGCGUGGGUAGCAAACAGG
rnacentral:rRNA from 1 species